rnacentral:lncRNA from 1 species
AUUCUUAUAAGAACCGAAACAAUAGUGUGAUUGCACCAAGACAAAAGUCAUAUAGAAAACAAAAUCCAGAUUAACAUUCAUACAAUGUGUUCAUGAUCACCAACAUCCCAAGAAACCAAAACAAUAGAAUGCAAACUCAUAUUAGAAAGAAACUCAGGUUAACUCCCCUACCUCAAAGGAUCCAAGGUUUCCUCUUGGUCUUACAUUGUAACCCCAAACUCUCCCUCUCAAGCUUUUCCUCCUCUCUAAUGGCUUCUCGCGGUGCACAGCUUCCGCACUUUUCUCUCUUCUUUGCAGCUCUCUUUCUGAUAUAUCCCCUAACUGCCCUCCUCCUCUAUACUAAAAUACUAAAAUAUUUGAACUCCAAAAUAACUAACAUCCCCUUUCUUUUCGGUCCUCUCUCUUUUAUUUUUUUUUCUUUUUAAAAUUCCUCCCAGAAACCUAAUAUUAUGUUUUAUUUUCAUGGUUGUUAUUUUCCCAAAGUACGUAUGCCCUGUUACCAUAUAAAAACUUCUUCUGACCGUAAAAUAUUCCCCCAAUGCCUUACCAAAUUUUGCAUGAAUAAAAGAAUAAAAUAAUACAAAAGGUGACCUAGUCUACACCUACCUUUUUAAUAUAUUAAUUGACGUGGCCCACCUAAAGUAUGAAUAAAAGAAUGGUUAAAUAGAUUCGAUGAUCCCUAUUUUUGUUGGUUUUCUUCAAGUAGGUCCCUAUAUUUUCAAAAUG